rnacentral:rRNA from 1 species
AAACCCUCACCAGAGUACCAAUUGGAGGGCAAGUCUGGUGCCAGCAGCCGCGGUAAUUCCAGCUCCAAUAGCGUAUAUUAAACUUGUUGCAGUUAAAAAGCUCGUAGUUGAAUUUCAGCGUUUCGCGUGUGCCUCUUUUGGCCCAUCUCGUCUCGCUUUUUUUAUUACUUUGAGAAAAUUAGAGUGUUUCAAGCAGGCUUUUGUCUUGAAUACUUGAGCAUGGAAUAAUAGAGUAGGACCUUGGUUCUAUUUUGUUGGUUUUGUUACCUUGGUAAUGGUUAAUAGGAACGGUUGGGGGCAUUCGUAUUUAACUGUCAGAGGUGAAAUUCUUAGA